CCUAAACAUGAGAGAAGAGCCAAAGAGAAACAGUGAGACGUCGGGUGGGCACUGCCUGGCGGGGGCCGGGUGAGUUUUGGUCGGCAGGGCUACAGAGGACACCCGGUAGGACCAGACUAUGGAGAAUGAAGCCUUGACGGAUGGGGAGAGCUGGAGGAUGGCUCUUUCCUACGCUGCCCACUAACGCAACAUCAGCACCUGUCUCCACGCCUCAGACCCUGCUCUCUGUGCUGAGCCACUGAAGAUUGGCUGGUUUGGGUUCACAAGGAAACAGCAAAUGCCGUCAGGACUAUAAAUAUCCUGAGCAGUCUUCCCCGACCUCACACACCGUUAGCAGUGCCGAAAGUGGUUUUCAGCGAGGAGAAAAAGCCUCAGCCACCUGGGCAUGGCCCCCUCUGCUCACUGAAACCUCUUCCAUCCCUCUUUCCCAUGCUACGUUUGGCUGGAGGUAUUUUGUAAAGAAACCAUCUCCUAACUUGUCGGCAAGUUUGCUACCCAAUGCCUCCGGCUACUCUGAAGAGAGGCAUUUCUAAUUUAGCUCACGGCCACUGGGAAAGGGAAAAGAACUUGGAAAAUGAUAUCAAGUUGCUCAUACCUCUCUCCCUCACUCUACUUCAGUGGGGUUGACACACAGCUGCCCUACAACAAGUCCUCCUGCUCCUGGGCUGGGAAAAGGCGAGAGUUCUGGACCAGUGUGCCCAGAGGGGAUCAGGAAUUUAGAUAUGGGCAGAAGGCCAGCCUGUGAACAGGGGCUCAGAGAGCCACUGCUUUCAUCCACUGGCUUUCUUAGAACUGAUGGGGGAUGGAGCCUGAGGACCAAGUCCAUGGACUAAUGCUAGCACCAGGCAGUCAGGGUAUCAUUCUUAAGGCCUCUGCAUAUAUUUCUGUUUUUCAGACAGAGUCUCACUAUGUAGUCCCAGUCUUGAAUUUGUGGUCUUCCUGUCUCUACGUGUGGGAUUACAGGUCUACGCUGCUUCUACUCUUGGGACCCAGAGAUGGUGGCCAUGGCAGCUAUGGGAUCACAGCCCACUCCUGAUUCUGAAAGAAGUAAGUGGCAUUUAGGAGCCAGAGAAUGCUUUGUUGUUUUCUGCAGAGCUCUCUGCUUGCUCCCCAGUGUGUGUCCUCAGAUUUCCUCCUCUGAGGAGGUAAACUUGAGGCAUGGGGCAGAUGGGCUCGCACUGUCCCUUCCCCUCUGCAGGCCACCUGCAGCUGAGAAGAGGCCCUCUCCUGGCAUUCCCCUCUGAGGAUCUUGUCUGCCCUUCCUAGUAGAGCCCGUGGCUUCCAUCUCUAGGGUGGAACUCAGCAGCAUCCUUGAGUGUGGAAGCACAAUGUCUCUGAAACUGUCAGACCAAGGAGAUCAAAUACGAAAGUGUUGCCAAAUCCAAGGCAGUCGUGAUGGCGCCUGAGAACUUCCUUCUUCUCCAGCCCCUGGGGACCUCAGAGCUCCUGCCAUCCCUAAAUAAGAUGCUGCACAGAUAGAUCCCGGCCGUGAUGAAUGAAUGAGGGUAUGGACAGAUGGAUGGAGGGGCAGAGGAUGGGAAAGCAGGUGAUCUCAGCAGCAACACAGCUGUAUUGUCAGGGACUACGCAUGCUGGGCAGGGAUCCCCAUGGAGGCAGGCCCUGGAGGUCUGCACACAUCCUCAGAACUGUCUGGCCCUGCACAGCCCUUCCCUGAGAGGGUGGGGGGCAAGGUCGUGGAGGCACUAAUAACUCCUCUGCUGUCUUUGUUACCCUACUGUAAUACUGCAGGUGCCCGCACCGCAAUGUGCUCCCUAGGGGAAUUUACAAGGCCCAGGUCAUUAAUUUACUUAAGGGGGUGGGGCUUCACUUCGGGACCUUGAAUGUCACAUCCCGAAUGUUGGGAAUCUUAAUGUCCCAAUUUAUAUUUUGCUCAUAAACAGUAUACAUACUUCAAAUUCUGCAGACAGGCAGAAUUGAAGUCCUAAAUCUUACUUGGCCCCGGCUCGAGAAUGGAAUGGCUGCUACUUCUGCUAUAUUUUCUAGACCUUCCUUUCCUCUCCUCUCCAACCCUCUAAAGGAGAAGUGAGAGGUGGGGCUGUCCCUGCGAGCUUUCUCCCCGAUGCUAAACAGUCUCAGUGUUCCCUAGGUGCUCACUGGGAGGGGGUUUCACCUUUGUGGGGGCCCCUGACUUUGGCUUUGUACACUGGCCUACGGGAAGUCCCGCAUAAAAGCCCAGAGAUGUAAAUACACUCCUGACAGCUCCCGUCCUCCCCUUGCCAGCUGCCGUGGAGAUCCAGAUGCUGACCUGGCUGAAAGAGAAUACUGUGUUGGCGUCUCCUGAUGCAGAGUUAAAUGCUUGUUAAAGAAAAAAGAGUCUUGGCCGUU